UACAUGUGGGGCGAGCGUUGUUCGGAAUUAUUGGGCGUAAAGCGCGCGCAGGCGGUCCUUUAAGUCUGAUGUGAAAGCCCACGGCUCAACCGUGGAGGGUCAUUGGAAACUGGGGGACUUGAGUACAGAAGAGAAGAGUGGAAUUCCACGUGUAGCGGUGAAAUGCGUAGAGAUGUGGAGGAACACCAGUGGCGAAGGCGACUCUUUGGUCUGUAACUGACGCUGAGGCGCGAAAGCGUGGGGAGCAAACAGG
rnacentral:rRNA from 1 species